CUUGUUGGUGGGGUAACGGCCUACCAAGGCGACGACGGGUAGCCGGCCUGAGAGGGCGACCGGCCACACUGGGACUGAGACACGGCCCAGACUCCUACGGGAGGCAGCAGUGGGGAAUAUUGCGCAAUGGGCGGAAGCCUGACGCAGCGACGCCGCGUGGGGGAUGAAGGCCUUCGGGUUGUAAACCCCUUUCAGCAGGGACGAAGCGGAAGUGACGGUACCUGCAGAAGAAGCGCCGGCUAACUACGUGCCAGCAGCCGCGGUAACACGUAGGGCGCAAGCGUUGUCCGGAAUUAUUGGGCGUAAAGAGCUCGUAGGUGGUCUGUUGCGUCCGCUGUGAAAUCUCAGGGCUUAACCUUGAGCCUGCAGUGGAUACGGGCAGACUAGAGGUAGGUAGGGGAGAAUGGAAUUCCUGGUGUAGCGGUGAAAUGCGCAGAUAUCAGGAGGAACACCGGUGGCGAAGGCGGUUCUCUGGGCCUUACCUGACACUGAGGAGCGAAAGCGUGGGGAGCGAACAGGAUUAGAUACCCUGGUAGUCCACGCCGUAAACGUUGGGCGCUAGGUGUGGGGUCCUUCCACGGAUUCCGUGCCGCAGCUAACGCAUUAAGCGCCCCGCCUGGGGAGUACGGCCGCAAGGCUAAAACUCAAAGGAAUUGACG
rnacentral:rRNA from 1 species